rnacentral:rRNA from 1 species
GACGAACGCUGGCGGCGUGCUUAACACAUGCAAGUCGAACGGAAAGGCCCUGCUUUUGUGGGGUGCUCGAGUGGCGAACGGGUGAGUAACACGUGAGUAACCUGCCCUUGACUUUGGGAUAACUUCAGGAAACUGGGGCUAAUACCGGAUAGGAGCUCCUGCUGCAUGGUGGGGGUUGGAAAGUUUCGGCGGUUGGGGAUGGACUCGCGGCUUAUCAGCUUGUUGGUGGGGUAGUGGCUUACCAAGGCUUUGACGGGUAGCCGGCCUGAGAGGGUGACCGGCCACAUUGGGACUGGGAUACGGCCCAGACUCCUACGGGAGGCAGCAGUGGGGAAUAUUGCACAAUGGGCGGAAGCCUGAUGCAGCAACGCCGCGUGCGGGAUGACUGCCUUCGGGUUGUAAACCGCUUUCGCCUGUGCCGAAGCGUGAGUGACGGUAAUGGGUAAAGAAGCACCGGCUAACUACGUG